GAUGAACGCUGGCGGCGUGCUUAACACAUGCAAGUCGAGCGAAGCGCUUUUGCGGAUUUCUUCGGAUUGAAGCAACUGUGACUGAGCGGCGGACGGGUGAGUAACGCGUGGGUAACCUGCCUCAUACAGGGGGAUAACAGUUGGAAACGGCUGCUAAUACCGCAUAAGCGCACAGUACCGCAUGGUACCGUGUGAAAAACUCCGGUGGUAUGAGAUGGACCCGCGUCUGAUUAGCUAGUUGGUGGGGUAACGGCCUACCAAGGCGACGAUCAGUAGCCGACCUGAGAGGGUGACCGGCCACAUUGGGACUGAGACACGGCCCAAACUCCUACGGGAGGCAGCAGUGGGGAAUAUUGCACAAUGGGGGAAACCCUGAUGCAGCGACGCCGCGUGAGCGAUGAAGUAUUUCGGUAUGUAAAGCUCUAUCAGCAGGGAAGAAAAUGACGGUAC
rnacentral:rRNA from 1 species